UAAACGUUGAUUUCCUCUCGCCCUACUCAGAAUGGCACCACCCAGAAGGCCAGUAGCUCACACCAGGCGUGGAACCACCCUGUGACCCAGAACUGAUCCUGAAAAACUCAAGUCCUCUUGCUGCAGUGACCCCUGCACACACCCAGGUUCACAGUGGCACAGUUCACAGUAGCCAGACUACAGAACCAGCUCAGGGGUCCGUCAGUGGACAUCCAUUUCUGUCAAGAAAUGUGGUCUCUCUGCACUCUGGAGUACUACUCGGCCGUGAAAAAGAAUGAAACGAUGGCGUUUGCAGGAAAACAGAUGGAACUAGAGACCAUGAGGCUAAGAGAAAUAAGUCCAUCUCAGAAGGUCCAGGGCGGGCAGCUCGGAACAGGCAGGAAACCCAAGCAGCCAUCAGGCUCCGGCCUGUGCUCUCGGGUAGAACCCUGGGGACAACAGGGAUGGCGUCUGGACCGCGGCCCGGAUUCCACCUUCUCCAGAACCAGCUACAAAUCCUGCGUCAACGAGGAAAUGCGCUCUGGGGCCGGCAGCUCGCGGGAAAUCCGGGGCUGCGCUGCGGGGGGGCGAUCCGUCCGGUUAGCAGAGCGGUGCAUGAGGAUGUCACCCCGAGGAGGACCUGGCAAAGCCGGCGCCGAGUGGCAGGUGCUUCCAAGCCCCAACGGAGCCCCGGUCCUAGAGCCUGGGAUACCGCCCUGAGCGCAACGCAUGCACCCCGCGAGGCCCGAGCUGCGCACCAAGGGGCCUGUCCUCCCCGGAGCUCGGGAGGCUGAGGCAGGAGGAUGGCGAGUUCAAAGCCAGCCUCAGCCAAAGGGAGGCCCUGAGCAACUCGGGGAGACCCUGUCUCUAUUGCUGCAUGUUCUAGUUUCCAGGGAUUUUUUUUCCUCCAUCACUAACUGUUCUCUAAAGAGUUUUUACCAACUUAAUUUUGGGAGUUUGGGGGACACAGGGAUGCUCCACAACUGGGUCAAACCCCGAUCGUUUUUUAAUUUUAUUUUGAGGCCGAGUCUUGCUACGUUGCUUCGGGUUUCAGUGAGUUGCUGAGGCUGGCCUUCACCUCAGGAUCCUCCUGCCUCGGCCUCCCGAGUUGUGGAAUCACGGGUGUGCACAGGCUCCCUGAUUGGAUUCGGGGGAUACUCACUUUCAAGGCCAAACCAGAAUGGGGAAGAAGGUCGAAAAUACCAGAAGAAACCGAAAGCAGAACAGGGCACCGAUUUGGGGAACUGUCUACACCUCCGUCCCACAAAUGGAAACUCCCAAGGAGCAUUGAUGCGUGUGAGUUUUCAAAUCCACUGUGACUUCUUCUACUUGAUAAAGACAUGAAAACACCCCGUGCCCCCUGCAAAACCUGGAGGAACACGUGACAGUGGCCUCCCUCUGUUGGGUGGUCGGAGAAGAUGCCCUUUCGCAACACUGGACGUGGUGGGAUGGGAAACGGGUAGAAUUCAAUCCACUUGAAAUGAUUCGGUUAUGAGAGGUGUAGACUAAAAGUGGAUUAAUCCACUUGGAUGGACUCACUGGGUGGUGACUGCAGCAGGUGGGGUGUGGCUGGAGGAGGGGGUCCCUGGGCUGUGCCUUUGGGGUCUCUGUCCUGUCCCUGGUGAGCAGAGCUCUCUCUGCUCCCUGGUGCCCUGUCCUGAGCUGCUCUCCUCCUCCAGGCCCUGCCGCCAUCUUGUUCUGCCUCCCCUUGGGCCAGAGCCAUGGAGUCGGCCACCAGGGACUGGACCUCGGACACCAGGAGCCCAGGUCAACUCUUCCUCCGUGUUCUCUUUGGUGGGAAGGAGGUCAAGAAGCGGAAGAAAGUAGACCAGUGGUCACUAGCGGAUGGGAAGGGCAAAGCCGGGGUGUUGGAGGGUGGUUGGAUAGCGGGUAGCACGGUGCACUCUGACCCAAGGAGGGAGCUCCACAGACAGGGGGUGGGCCGUCCUCCACUAGAACCCAGUGCAUAUUCCACAGGUUUCCGGAAGAGAUGGCGUGAGGGCUUCAAAUGCAGACGUGACGGGAGGUGGACGUGCUGGAUUCAGAACAGAACAGAACGUUAGCAGCAUCAGGGGAGGAGAAAUGGAAUCCCCAGAUGACCGGCCGGAAUCCAGUGGACACACGCUUCAGAAUCCCCUCCCUCCCCUCGAGCGUGCGUUGGACAUCUCCGACGGUGGACAUUCAAUGAUGGCGCUGACCCUUCCGCCAACUUCGUGUCCAUAAAACAAAGGUGACCCUGGGUGGCCUUGGACGAAUCCAAAGGAGACCUUGAUAAAGAAGAAAUGGUGGCGGCAUCCAGCAGAUUCUGGUUUCAGAGAGGAAAAGAAAGCACCGUGUUCCAUGAAGACCCAUGGAGGGAACCAUUGGUCCAGAACCUGAGGGCAGGCUCCAUUGAAUGAGAUCGACCCCGAGCCAGUGGCCAGUGAGAAGGACAGGACUCCAGCCCUGCACCCUCAGUAGACUGAGUUGCCCCAACGCCAUGACAACAUGAGUGUCCAAGAGGCUCGGCGGGUGGGUGAUCAUGGCGCCAUUUUGAGGAGAUCACUGGUGACCGUGGGUGCUGGGGAGACCAUCAUGGCGCACUCGGGCGAUCGUACGGUACUGUGAACCCACAGAACAUACAACAUCGGGAGGUCACUCCGCAAAGAGGUCAACUUUGGGUAAAUGGAGAUGCCAAUGUGGGUCUGUCCAUUGUAACAGGGAACAGGGGGAAGAUGUUGGUAAUGGAGGAGGCUGUGCUAUAGCAAGGGUUCGGGGGGUGUGGAUAGUCUCAGUAGUUUCUACUCGAUUUGGAGGUGAACCUAAAAUUUUCCUAAAAAAAAUAAAGUCUAUUAAAAAUCGACCAAAAAAAAAUGACAAUAUUGUUGAGGGCAUUUUCUAG
rnacentral:lncRNA from 1 species